AGCAUAUCAAUAAGCGGAGGAAAAGAAACCAACAGGGAUUGCCUCAGUAACGGCGAGUGAAGCGGCAACAGCUCAAAUUUGAAAUCUGGCUCCGUUAGGGGUCCGAGUUGUAAUUUGUAGAGGAUGCUUUGGGCACGGCCACGGUCUAAGUUCUCUGGAACGAGACGUCAUAGAGGGUGAGAAUCCCGUAUGGGACCGCCGGCCACGCCCGUGUAAAGCUCCUUCGACGAGUCGAGUUGUUUGGGAAUGCAGCUCAAAAUGGGUGGUAAAUUUCAUCUAAAGCUAAAUAUUGGCCAGAGACCGAUAGCGCACAAGUAGAGUGAUCGAAAGAUGAAAAGCACUUUGAAAAGAGAGUUAAACAGCAUGUGAAAUUGUUGAAAGGGAAGCGUUGGCGACCAGACUCACCCGUGGCGGCUCACCAGGCGUUCUCGCCUGGGCACUCCACCACGGUUGGGCCAGCAUCGGUUUGGGCGGUCGGUCAAAGGCCCCUGGAAUGUAUCAUCCCCCGGGAUGCCUUAUAGCCAGGGGUGCAAUGCGGCCUGCCCGGAUCGAGGAACGCGCUUCGGCACGGAUGCUGGCGUAAUGGUCGUCAACGACCCGUCUUGAAACACGGACCAAGGAGUCAACCAACUAUGCGAGUGUUUGGGUGUCAAACCCCGGCGCGGAAUGAAAGUGAACGGAGGUGGGAACCCCUCACGGGGCGCACCAUCGACCGAUCCUGAUGUCUUCGGAUGGAUUUGAGUAAGAGCAUAGCUGGUUGGACCCGAAAGAUGGUGAACUAUGCCUGAAUAGGGUGAAGCCAGAGGAAACUCUGGUGGAGGCUCGCAGCGGUUCUGACGUGCAAAUCGAUCGUCAAAUUUGGGUAUAGGGGCGAAAGACUAAUCGAACCAUCUGGUAGCUGGGUCUGC
rnacentral:rRNA from 1 species